ACCCUCUCAGGGUGCACCUGGUGAGUUUUCAGUACUCUACCAGUGUUAGCUACAGGAGGGAGACUCAAGCAGAGGCAUACCCAUUCCAUUCCCAGCUUGGCCAGUGGCUAGUGAGUGGAAGGCAAUCUGCUUCAAGU